GAUGAACGCUGGCGGCGUGCCUAAUACAUGCAAGUCGAGCGAACAGACGAGGAGCUUGCUUCUCUGAUGUUAGCGGCGGACGGGUGAGUAACACGUGGAUAACCUACCUAUAAGACUGGGAUAACUUCGGGAAACCGGAGCUAAUACCGGAUAAUAUUUUGAACCGCAUGGUUCAAAAGUGAAAGACGGUUUUGCUGUCACUUAUAGAUGGAUCCGCGCUGCAUUAGCUAGUUGGUAAGGUAACGGCUUACCAAGGCAACGAUGCAUAGCCGACCUGAGAGGGUGAUCGGCCACACUGGAACUGAGACACGGUCCAGACUCCUACGGGAGGCAGCAGUAGGGAAUCUUCCGCAAUGGGCGAAAGCCUGACGGAGCAACGCCGCGUGAGUGAUGAAGGUCUUCGGAUCGUAAAACUCUGUUAUUAGGGAAGAACAUAUGUGUAAGUAACUGUGCACAUCUUGACGGUACCUAAUCAGAAAGCCACGGCUAACUACGUG
rnacentral:rRNA from 1 species